CACGGGACACUGAAGAUGGCAGAACUGGUCUUUUCCCGCUGGACAGGCUCCUGGCUUGCCUCGCACAGGGAGAGUGCUCCGUGAAAGUCCUGGGGAUGUUUGCUCUGGAUGAGAAAAGUCUUAGGUGAGCCUGCAGCUUCCCUCAUGACCAAGAUUCAGCUGGUCCUCCGUGUCCCGAAGGAGCCACCGAGCUAGGACAAAGGAGGGAGCACGACAAGAAGGGCUGUUUGGGUUCAGUUUAGAGGAGACUCUUUAAGGCUUUGGGUAGUGAGCUCACUGCUCCUAGGAGCAUUCAAGCAGAUGCUAGAUGAUGACCUGUAGGGAGAAUUUCUGCCUUGAGUGGGAACGUGGGCACCGUACCCCUGAAGGCCUCCUCUAGCUUCGAGACACUGGGGCCCCAUCAUUCUAGUCUUCUCUAUCUCUAGCUUUCUAUCAUUCUGGAACCUAGAACCCAAGUUCCCAGAGGGCUGAAAGUCAGAGACUCCGGCACCGAGGGUUGGAAUUCUGGGAUCUCAAGACUCCAGAAUCUCAGGACUUGAGGACGGUUCUACCAGUCUCAGGUUCUCGCCUUCACAGGAUUCUGUGAUGUGAGAGGGAAAAGAGGAGGGAGCACGUCCCACUUGGUGGGAUGCAGUUCUGCCCAUUGGGUGUCAAACUAGCCCACAGGUAUGGGUGUGCGUGUGUGCGCAUGUAUGUGACACGAGAGUGCAAGGCUGCAGACGGUCAGCACGCAAAGGCAACCUGGUUUUCCUAUUUCGUGCAUCCCCAGCUUCCCCGUGCCGGCCAUUUGAAGGCUGUCACAGGGAUAAUUAUAGCCCCCAAACAGAGCUGGUGACUCCAGGUAGCCAUGGCAACGGUUGGGUACCACCAGCUCUGUUGUAGAGAUGUGUAAGUACAAACAGACGGCAGUUUCCUCCCAUUAGCUUAAAUGGUAAAACUUAAAAGUUUCAUCAACUUCAAAGCCACAGGUCUCCACGAGCCUGCCUGUUAAUGGGGCACCUGCCAAGGGCGACAGCUUCAUAUUAAACACUUUCGCAUCAGGAAUGAGCUGAUGAGGUUUUAAACACUCAGGCUGUGUCCAACAACUUGGGAGCCUGGAGACGGGAGAAGAGCUGGGGAUGCGGGUUUGGGUUCCAGCUCCGCCGAUUACCAGCCCUGGGUGGCGGGGGUGUGACCUCUCCAAGUCUUCGUUUCCUUACAGCCCAGAGGAGUAAAAAGCAGCCCCACCCUGUGGCCCCUCAGGUUGGUCUGAGGGUCCCAGGAGGCACAGGCAGGAGCGCGUUGGAAAACGGCGUUGCCAGCGCUGUGGACAUAAAGCAGGACCUACUGGUGCUGAUGUUUCCGGGGCGUGACUUGCCCAGUAGGCUAGGUCUGCACCCAGAAUCCAAACCCAUGAACCCCAGACCGCCAAAACGGAGGGCAUGAACCCAACCACUAUGUCACCAGGCCAGGCACCACCCCCCAACCCCGUUCACAUUUGGAAGAGGGGAUCUGAUUGGCCCGGACAGAGCCCUGCUGUUAGCUGCCUCAGCUCAGGUGCCAGCCCUGGUCCAAUCAGCUGUGAC
ensembl:lncRNA